CUUAAGAAAUAAAGUGGGUAUGAGUCCUACAACCACAAAGAACUGAAUUCUGCCAAGAAUCUGAAUGAGCUGCAGGAAGGACCCUGAACUCCAAGUAUGGGCACAGCCCAAUGGAUACCUUGAUGGCAGCCUCUUGAGACCUGAGCUGAGAAGCUGGCUGAGCCCUGCCUGGCCUUCUGACCUACAGGACUGAGCUCACACCAACAUGUUAAGCUGAUCUGUGUAAACCAGCACUAGGAUUUUUCCUCCUCUGAUACCUGGUUGUAAAAAACUCCAGCAUUAGGA